rnacentral:lncRNA from 1 species
GCUCCAAGCAGCUGGGGAUUUGCUUGUAUGUCAGCCUCUCUCUCUCCGAGAACUAGAAAACGAUGGAAUGUGGUGACUGGUGCUGUGGCAGCCAUCUUGCAACUAUGAGGCAGACACAGAGAGCAUUUCAGGUCCAGGCCUGUCUGAGCUGAAGGGAGACCCAGAAACCUCUGUCACAUCCUGCGCCCACUUGGGUGUCCCAAGCACAGAUCAGAUGGUAAGACUCCAAGAGAUCAAAUCACAAAGCGAGGAUGUGGUAAAGCUAGGAUCCAAACCUAGGCUCCGAACCCAAGCUAUUGGCCUCAUUUGACUCUCCACUUUCAUCUCUCUUCUGGUGGACAUCCUGGAAAGGAAGAUCUAAAGUUUCAGGAUCCCAGGGCUUAGGACGGGGCUGGUUUCUGGGUGGAUCUGGGGCAUCUAAGAGCCUGGUCUGAGAAUCCCAACAUUUUUUCCUUCAACUUACCCAUACUUCAGUGCCUCCCAAUUGAUGUGUUUUUUUAAAAAGAUGUUAUUAUGGUUGAUUUACAAUGUUCUGUCAAUUUCCACUGUACAGCAAAGUGACCCAGUUAUACAGACAUGUACCUUCUUUUUCUCAUAUUAUCUCCCAUCAUGUUCUAUCACAAGUGAUUGGAUAUACGUCCCUGUGCUAUACAGCAGGAUCUCACCACCCAGCCACUCCAAACGCAGCAGUUUGCAUCUACCAAACUCCCAGUCCCUCGCACUCCCUCCCCCUCCCCCUUGGCAACUACAAGUCUGUUCUCCAAGUCCAUGCCAGUUUUCCUGUUAAUUUAAAGGAUGGGUGCAGGGGGAAGGAGGACCCAACUAGAAACCCCCUCUCCCCCCAAUCCUCAUGCUCCUUGCCCACCUGGCUGGUUUUCGUGAUGAAUGUCAAGCCUCUCACUGCUCUCGGGUUUUUUUCCCCAUCAUUCUCCCUACGUGGUUUCUGUGUCCAACAUCUUUCUCCAGAAUGCUAACAUUAUUUUUUCUGGAUAAAUCAGGAAGGGACCUCCUCAUUUCCCCAGCCAGGAAAAAAAAAAAAAAA